rnacentral:lncRNA from 10 species
GGCUGACACCUGAAGCAGAGAUGAGAGUCCAACAGGCAGCAGGUGGGCGGGGAUCUGUGUCUGCAGAAGUUCAGCGGUGAAGGCUACACCAGGAAAUCUCAAGAGACAGAAAAGAUCAACUACACUGGAGCUGGGGGGACGUGAAGGAGAAAAAAGAUUAACUGGAAGUGGAAUUUAUAUCUUUCAUUUAAGGAAUUUCUAAAUACAGGAAACUCAAUGCAUUUUACCAUCCAAAAGUGUUUGACAUGCCUAAGGAAAUGGAGCAUGAGGUUAUAUUAUAUAUCAGGAGGCAUCUAGUGGUGUGCUGCAGGGAUGUGGUGCUCUGGACUUGGUUAGCAUCUUUAUCAAUGGCAAUGACAAAAAGGGCAUCCUCAAUGAAUAACUGAAAGAGUUGAAGGAGAGAAGGAAAGAAGGGAGAGUGAAUAGAGAGAACAUUUACUAAAUGUGUAAUUUUCACACACAGUGUUGCAUUUCACCUUUCCAGCAACCGUAUGGGACAGGUGCUGUUCUCCCCAUUUUAUGAAGCAGGAAAUUGAAGCUCUGAAAGGGUAAUGAAUAGGCCCACAAGGACACAGUUGGUAAAGGAAGGGCUUGAAAUUUGAACCUACUGUAUUACAAAUUCUGCAUGCAAAAGUUGAACUGUGAUACUUAUGAGAUGUGUCCUUUGAUAAAACA